CGUAGGUGGCAAGCGUUGUCCGGAAUUAUUGGGCGUAAAGCGCGCGCAGGCGGUUCCUUAAGUCUGAUGUGAAAGCCCCCGGCUCAACCGGGGAGGGUCAUUGGAAACUGGGGAACUUGAGUGCAGAAGAGAAGAGCGGAAUUCCACGUGUAGCGGUGAAAUGCGUAGAGAUGUGGAGGAACACCAGUGGCGAAGGUGGCUCUUUGGUCUGUAACUGACGCUGAGGCGCGAAAGCGUGGGGAGCAAACAGGAUUAGAUACCCUGGUAGUCCACGCCGUAAACGAUGAGUGCUAAGUGUUAGAGGGUUUCCGCCCUUUAGUGCUGCAGCUAACGCAUUAAGCACUCCGCCUGGGGAGUACGGCCGCAAGGCUG
rnacentral:rRNA from 1 species